rnacentral:lncRNA from 1 species
CCUCUGAAGUUUCUAUUAAAAGAAGAAGCAGCAGCAAUAAAUGAUUUAUCCUGGCGGCGUGGAGCAGCAGCAUCAUUCAGGAACAACUGUAAUAAAAAGAUGGGUGGAGACUCUGACAGAUGCUGGUGUGGAUGUUGGCUGUAUCCCACAGGGAUGUUUAUCUGGAGGUGGUCCAAACACUUGGUCCCUGCAUCCUCGAUUCCCACUUCCACACUGGGGCGGAUCUAUGGGCCGGCCAGUAACACAAGCAACAGAGAAUGAAACAACAAACUGGCUUCUGUUUGCGGGAGAUACGCUGAAGGCAACAAAGCGUUCCCACCCUGCCCUAGAGAGCAUGGGCAUGCUGACCAGCCCACCAACAUGGCACCUCUGUGUGUGUGCCUGCCAGCUGCUCUCAUGCCAUGGUAAAAUGAUAAAAACAACAAAG